rnacentral:rRNA from 1 species
UACGUAGGCAGCGAGCGUUGUUCGGAAUUACUGGGCGUAAAGAGUGUGUAGGCGGUGCUCUAAGUUCGGUGUGAAAUCUCCCGCUUAACUGGGAGGGUGCGCCGGAAACUGGAGUGCUCGAGCGUGGGAGAGGAAGCGGAAUCCUGGUGUAGCGGUGAAAUGCGUAGAUAUCAGGAGGAACACCUGCGGUGUAGACGGCUUUCUGGACCAUUGCUGACGCUGAGACACGAAAGCGUGGGUAGCAAACAGG